rnacentral:rRNA from 1 species
UGGGGAAUUUUGGACAAUGGGCGAAAGCCUGAUCCAGCAAUGCCGCGUGUGUGAAGAAGGCCUUCGGGUUGUAAAGCACUUUUGUCCGGAAAGAAAUCCUUGGCUCUAAUACAGUCGGGGGAUGACGGUACCGGAAGAAUAAGCACCGGCUAACUACGUGCCAGCAGCCGCGGUAAUACGUAGGGUGCAAGCGUUAAUCGGAAUUACUGGGCGUAAAGCGUGCGCAGGCGGUUUGCUAAGACCGAUGUGAAAUCCCCGGGCUCAACCUGGGAACUGCAUUGGUGACUGGCAGGCUAGAGUAUGGCAGAGGGGGGUAGAAUUCCACGUGUAGCAGUGAAAUGCGUAGAGAUGUGGAGGAAUACCGAUGGCGAAGGCAGCCCCCUGGGCCAAUACUGACGCUCAUGCACGAAAGCGUGGGGGAGCAAACAGGAUUAGAUACCCUGGUAGUCCACGCCCUAAACGAUGUCAACUAGUUGUUGGGGGAUUCAUUUCCUUAGUAACGUAGCUAACGCGUGAAGUUGACCGCCUGGGGGAGUACGGUCGCAAGAUUAAAACUUAAAUGAAUUGACGGGGUCAUAGCUGUUUCCU